GCGGGUUUAACUCAGCUAGGAGAGCGUCAGACUGAAAUCAAAACUUCAAAAUCAUAUUAUCUAAAGGUCGUAUAUUCGAUCUAUUCAAACCGCA